UACAGAGGUCUCGAGCGUUGUUCGGAUUUAUUGGGCGUAAAGGGUGCGUAGGCGGCGAGCUAAGUUUGGUGUGAAAUCCUGGGGCUUAACCUCAGAAAUGCACUGAAUACUGGUUUGCUAGAGGACUGGAGAGGAGAUUGGAAUUCACGGUGUAGCAGUGAAAUGCGUAGAUAUCGUGAGGAAGACCAGUGGCGAAAGCGAAUCUCUGGACAGUUCCUGACGCUGAUGCACGAAGGCUAGGGGAGCAAACGGG
rnacentral:rRNA from 1 species